rnacentral:rRNA from 1 species
GAUGAACGCUGGCGGCGUGCCUAAUACAUGCAAGUCGAGCGAACAGACGAGGAGCUUGCUCCUCUGAUGUUAGCGGCGGACGGGUGAGUAACACGUGGAUAACCUACCUAUAAGACUGGGAUAACUUCGGGAAACCGGAGCUAAUACCGGAUAACAUGUUGAACCGCAUGGUUCAACAGUGAAAGACGGUCUUGCUGUCACUUAUAGAUGGAUCCGCGCCGCAUUAGCUAGUUGGUAAGGUAACGGCUUACCAAGGCAACGAUGCGUAGCCGACCUGAGAGGGUGACCGGCCACACUGGAACUGAGACACGGUCCAGACUCCUACGGGAGGCAGCAGUAGGGAAUCUUCCGCAAUGGGCGAAAGCCUGACGGAGCAACGCCGCGUGAGUGAAGAAGGUCUUCGGAUCGUAAAACUCUGUUAUUAGGGAAGAACAAAUGUGUAAGUAACUAUGCACGUCUUGACGGUACCUAAUCAGAAAGCCACGGCUAACUACGUG